UUUUUGACUACUGUCAACAGGCUGCGCUGAACACUCCGAACAAUAUAGUCGAUAUAUCUGUCAUCGGUUUCCCGUCCCUUUCCUUCCUAUUCUGGGGCUCAGAACCCUAGGAGGUGUCAAUGCCAGGAGACUCCCACAGUCCAGGACUUGGCCUACUGCCGCUCAGUAUAACACAACAUAAUUAUGAAAAGAGUAACAGCGAAAACGAGUUACGGG
rnacentral:lncRNA from 1 species